AGCGUACACGGUGGAUGCCCUGGCAGUCAGAGGCGAUGAAGGACGUGCUAAUCUGCGAUAAGCGUCGGUAAGGUGAUAUGAACCGUUAUAACCGGCGAUUUCCGAAUGGGGAAACCCAGUGUGUUUCGACACACUAUCAUUAACUGAAUCCAUAGGUUAAUGAGGCGAACCGGGGGAACUGAAACAUCUAAGUACCCCGAGGAAAAGAAAUCAACCGAGAUUCCCCCAGUAGCGGCGAGCGAACGGGGAGCAGCCCAGAGCCUGAAUCAGUGUGUGUGUUAGUGGAAGCGUCUGGAAAGGCGCGCGAUACAGGGUGACAGCCCCGUACACAAAAAUGCACAUGCUGUGAGCUCGAUGAGUAGGGCGGGACACGUGGUAUCCUGUCUGAAUAUGGGGGGACCAUCCUCCAAGGCUAAAUACUCCUGACUGACCGAUAGUGAACCAGUACCGUGAGGGAAAGGCGAAAAGAACCCCGGCGAGGGGAGUGAAAAAGAACCUGAAACCGUGUACGUACAAGCAGUGGGAGCACGCUUAGGCGUGUGACUGCGUACCUUUUGUAUAAUGGGUCAGCGACUUAUAUUCUGUAGCAAGGUUAACCGAAUAGGGGAGCCGAAGGGAAACCGAGUCUUAACUGGGCGUUAAGUUGCAGGGUAUAGACCCGAAACCCGGUGAUCUAGCCAUGGGCAGGUUGAAGGUUGGGUAACACUAACUGGAGGACCGAACCGACUAAUGUUGAAAAAUUAGCGGAUGACUUGUGGCUGGGGGUGAAAGGCCAAUCAAACCGGGAGAUAGCUGGUUCUCCCCGAAAGCUAUUUAGGUAGCGCCUCGUGAAUUCAUCUCCGGGGGUAGAGCACUGUUUCGGCAAGGGGGUCAUCCCGACUUACCAACCCGAUGCAAACUACGAAUACCGGAGAAUGUUAUCACGGGAGACACACGGCGGGUGCUAACGUCCGUCGUGAAGAGGGAAACAACCCAGACCGCCAGCUAAGGUCCCAAAGUCAUGGUUAAGUGGGAAACGAUGUGGGAAGGCCCAGACAGCCAGGAUGUUGGCUUAGAAGCAGCCAUCAUUUAAAGAAAGCGUAAUAGCUCACUGGUCGAGUCGGCCUGCGCGGAAGAUGUAACGGGGCUAAACCAUGCACCGAAGCUGCGGCAGCGACGCUGAUGCGUUGUUGGGUAGGGGAGCGUUCUGUAAGCCUGCGAAGGUGUGCUGUGAGGCAUGCUGGAGGUAUCAGAAGUGCGAAUGCUGACAUAAGUAACGAUAAAGCGGGUGAAAAGCCCGCUCGCCGGAAGACCAAGGGUUCCUGUCCAACGUUAAUCGGGGCAGGGUGAGUCGACCCCUAAGGCGAGGCCGAAAGGCGUAGUCGAUGGGAAACAGGUUAAUAUUCCUGUACUUGGUGUUACUGCGAAGGGGGGACGGAGAAGGCUAUGUUGGCCGGGCGACGGUUGUCCCGGUUUAAGCGUGUAGGCUGGUUUUCCAGGCAAAUCCGGAAAAUCAAGGCUGAGGCGUGAUGACGAGGCACUACGGUGCUGAAGCAACAAAUGCCCUGCUUCCAGGAAAAGCCUCUAAGCAUCAGGUAACAUCAAAUCGUACCCCAAACCGACACAGGUGGUCAGGUAGAGAAUACCAAGGCGCUUGAGAGAACUCGGGUGAAGGAACUAGGCAAAAUGGUGCCGUAACUUCGGGAGAAGGCACGCUGAUAUGUAGGUGAAGUCCCUCGCGGAUGGAGCUGAAAUCAGUCGAAGAUACCAGCUGGCUGCAACUGUUUAUUAAAAACACAGCACUGUGCAAACACGAAAGUGGACGUAUACGGUGUGACGCCUGCCCGGUGCCGGAAGGUUAAUUGAUGGGGUUAGCGCAAGCGAAGCUCUUGAUCGAAGCCCCGGUAAACGGCGGCCGUAACUAUAACGGUCCUAAGGUAGCGAAAUUCCUUGUCGGGUAAGUUCCGACCUGCACGAAUGGCGUAAUGAUGGCCAGGCUGUCUCCACCCGAGACUCAGUGAAAUUGAACUCGCUGUGAAGAUGCAGUGUACCCGCGGCAAGACGGAAAGACCCCGUGAACCUUUACUAUAGCUUGACACUGAACAUUGAGCCUUGAUGUGUAGGAUAGGUGGGAGGCUUUGAAGUGUGGACGCCAGUCUGCAUGGAGCCGACCUUGAAAUACCACCCUUUAAUGUUUGAUGUUCUAACGUGGACCCGUAAUCCGGGUUGCGGACAGUGUCUGGUGGGUAGUUUGACUGGGGCGGUCUCCUCCUAAAGAGUAACGGAGGAGCACGAAGGUUGGCUAAUCCUGGUCGGACAUCAGGAGGUUAGUGCAAUGGCAUAAGCCAGCUUGACUGCGAGCGUGACGGCGCGAGCAGGUGCGAAAGCAGGUCAUAGUGAUCCGGUGGUUCUGAAUGGAAGGGCCAUCGCUCAACGGAUAAAAGGUACUCCGGGGAUAACAGGCUGAUACCGCCCAAGAGUUCAUAUCGACGGCGGUGUUUGGCACCUCGAUGUCGGCUCAUCACAUCCUGGGGCUGAAGUAGGUCCCAAGGGUAUGGCUGUUCGCCAUUUAAAGUGGUACGCGAGCUGGGUUUAGAACGUCGUGAGACAGUUCGGUCCCUAUCUGCCGUGGGCGCUGGAGAACUGAGGGGGGCUGCUCCUAGUACGAGAGGACCGGAGUGGACGCAUCACUGGUGUUCGGGUUGUCAUGCCAAUGGCACUGCCCGGUAGCUAAAUGCGGAAGAGAUAAGUGCUGAAAGCAUCUAAGCACGAAACUUGCCCCGAGAUGAGUUCU
rnacentral:rRNA from 1 species